UACAGGGGGGGCAAGCGUUGUUCGGAAUUACUGGGCGUAAAGGGCGCGUAGGCGGCCAACUAAGUCACACGUGAAAUCCCCAGGCUUAACCUGGGAACUGCGUGUGAUACUGGAUGGCUUGAAUUCGGGAGAGGGAUGCGGAAUUCCAGGUGUAGCGGUGAAAUGCGUAGAUAUCUGGAGGAACACCGGUGGCGAAGGCGGCAUCCUGGACCGACAUUGACGCUGAGGCGCGAAAGCUAGGGGAGCAAACAGG
rnacentral:rRNA from 1 species